rnacentral:lncRNA from 1 species
UUAGCCGACGAAAUUAAAAUUUCGUCGUCUGAAUAAUUUUUUUCGUCGGCUAUAGUCUGUGAACUUUAGCCGACGAAAUUUUUUUAAAGUUUAGCCGACGAAAAAUAUAAUUUCGUCGGCUAAAGUGCCUUAUAUUUGCAGAUCUUGACAACAACUCAUCUGGGAAAAAAAAACUAUACGUAGAAUCUUCAAAUGCAAAAAAGUCGUGAAAUAAGAUAUGACCAGAAUGGUGAAAUACGUCUACAGUUGAAAAAUCACGGUAUUCUGGAAAAGUUUCGGUGCCGAUAGUUGCGGUCAAUGCAAUUUACCCUUAUUAUUCACUAUGCUGCAGAUUUGGUUUUUGGUGUCCGAUUGACUAUUGUGAUACCUUUCCGGAAGCGUAACGGCCCUACAAGUCAAACUCAUCGCUAAUGCCAUGAUGUAUGGGCCUUUUUGGCCAUCCGAGUCCGUUUAGGGCUUCAAAAUGCAGUUUUCUUAUUUCUGAUUAGAGUUGACCGUUUCGAUCGAGCCCUUAACGUUGUCGAAUCCAGUUGAAUUUUUUACCAUAGACAUCUUUCGUCAUAAUGAUCAUAUCGGACGGUCGAAUUUUUGUUUGUAAAUUUUAGUCAUCGGAAUCACAACGUGUCUACUAUUUACCGUUAUUAUUCCCUAUGGGGAGCCCUAUCGUCGGAAGGUAAAUGUCUCAAAAUUUUAUAUGGGCAGUUGCGUCUCAUCUACGUGAGAGUUUUUUGUGUGGAAGGUUUGACCAAACCAUGUAAUAUAGAGGGAGAUAUGAGCGUUUUCGUGUGAUAAGUGACGAUGAAUUAGGGUUACCCGUUUCGAUCGAGUCCUUAACGUUGUCGGAUCCGGUUGAAUUUUUUACCAUAGACAUCUUUCGUCAUAAUGAUCAUAUCUGACGAUCGUAAUUUUGGUUU